AUUGAACGCUGGCGGCAGGCCUAACACAUGCAAGUCGAGCGGAGCGGCAGUGGGGUGAGUAUUGCCUAGGAAUCUGCCUGGUAGUGGGGGAUGAGGUCCGGAAACGGGCGCUAAUACCGCAUACUCUCAGAUUAGACUAGGUCGGAUUAGCUAGUUGGUGGGGGAAAGGCCCACCAUGGCGACGAUCCGUAACUGGUCUGAGAGGAUGAUCAGCCACACUGGAACUGAGACACGGUCCAGACUCCUACGGGAGGCAGCAGUGGGGAAUAUUGGACAAUGGGCGAAAGCCUGAUGCAGCCAUGCCGCGUGUGUGAAGAAGGUUUUCGGAUCGUAAAACUCUUUUGUCAGGGAGGCGGUACCUGAACAGAAAGCCCCGGCUAACUACGUGCCAGCAGCCGCGGUAAUUC
rnacentral:rRNA from 1 species